UACGAAGGGGACUAGCGUUGUUCGGAAUUACUGGGCGUAAAGCGCACGUAGGCGGAUUUGUAAGUCAGGGGUGAAAUCCCGGGGCUCAACCUCGGAACUGCCUUUGAUACUGCAAAUCUCGAGUCCGAUAGAGGUGGGUGGAAUUCCUAGUGUAGAGGUGAAAUUCGUAGAUAUUAGGAAGAACACCGGUGGCGAAGGCGGCAUCCUGGACCGGUAUUGACGCUGAUGCGCGAAAGCCAGGGGAGCAAACGGG
rnacentral:rRNA from 1 species